rnacentral:rRNA from 1 species
GACGAACGCUGGCGGCGUGCCUAACACAUGCAAGUCGAACGGGGCACCUUCGGGUGCUUAGUGGCGAACGGGUGAGUAACGCGUGAGAAACCUGCCUUUCAGUGGGGGACAACAGUUGGAAACGACUGCUAAUACCGCAUGAUGUAUCGAGGGGGCAUCCCUUUGAUACCAAAGCUUAAUGUGCUGAAAGAUGGUCUCGCGUCUGAUUAGCUAGUUGGUGAGGUAACGGCUCACCAAGGCGACGAUCAGUAGCCGGUCUGAGAGGAUGAACGGCCACAUUGGGACUGAGAUACGGCCCAGACUCCUCCGGGAGGCAGAAGUGGGGAAUAUUGGGCAAUGGGGGAAACCCUGACCCAGCAACGCCGCGUGAAGGAAGAAGGCCUUCGGGUUGUAAACUUCUUUUACCAGGGACGAAGAAAGUGACGGUACCUGGAGAAAAAGCAACGGCUAACUACGUGCCAGCCGCCGCCGUAAUAC